AGAGUUUGAUCAUGGCUCAGGAUGAACGCUGGCGGCGUGCCUAAUACAUGCAAGUCGAACGAGGUGCUUUUUGUAGUAAUACGAGAGGUAUCCUAGUGGCGAACGGGUGAGUAACGCGUUGGUGACCUGCCCCAAAGUGUGGGAUAACAGUCCGAAAGGAUUGCUAAUACCGCAUGUGGUCCCCGGGUUUAGAAACCGGUGACUAAAGCAGCAAUGCGCUUUGGGAGGGACCUGCGUCCCAUCAGCUAGUUGGUGAGGUAACGGCCCACCAAGGCUACGACGGGUAGGGGACCUGAGAGGGUGGCCCCCCACAAUGGAACUGAAACACGGUCCAUACACCUACGGGUGGCAGCAGUAGGGAAUAUUGCACAAUGGGCGAAAGCCUGAUGCAGCAACGCCGCGUGCGCGAUGAAGGUCUUCGGAUCGUAAAGCGCUUUUCUGCGAGAUGAGAAAGGACAGUAUCGUAGGAAUAAGUCUCGGCUAACUACGUGCCAGCAGCCGCGGUAACACGUAGGAGGCGAGCGUUAUCCGGAUUCACUGGGCGUAAAGCGCGUGCAGGCGGUUCGGUAAGUUGGGCGUGAAAUCUCCCGGCUCAACUGGGAGAGGUCGUCCAAGACUACCGAACUUGAGAGCGAUAGAGGAAAAUGGAAUUCCCGGUGUAGUGGUGAAAUGCGUAGAUAUCGGGAGGAACACCAGUGGCGAAAGC
rnacentral:rRNA from 1 species